rnacentral:rRNA from 1 species
GACGAACGCUGGCGGCAUGCCUAAUACAUGCAAGUCGAACGAGGGGCGGACGGGUGAGUAACACGUGGCUAACCUACCGACAGAGUGGGAUAAACCGUGGAAACAGGUGCUAAUACCGCAUACGGGAGGAGGGACCCGGGGUGCAUGAGCUAGUUGGUGAGGUAACGGCUCACCCAGGCCACGAGGCCUAGCGGACCUGAGAGGGUGAUCGGCCACACUGGGACUGAGACACGGUCCAGACUCCUACGGUAGGCAGCAGUGGGGAAUAUUGCACAAUGGGCGCAAGCCUGAUGCAGCCAUGCCGCGUGUAGGAAGAAGGCCUUCGGGUUGUAAAGUACUUUCAGCGAGGAGGCGUUACUCGCAGAAGAAGCACCGGCUAACUCCGUGCCAGCAGCCGCGGUAAUAC